UAGAAAAGUGAAGAAAGGAUGAAUCAGUUAAAGGAAGAAACACUCUACAGUGAUCACUGUUGAGAGAAGAGAGCAGAGAGCAAGACAAGAAAAGUGUAAAGUUUGUCCGGUGGAGGGAGAGACUGACUGUCUCAAUCAUCAACAAUCAGGAUGUUUGUUCUCAUCUGGGCGACUCUGCUAUUCUCUGUGAGAGGCAACAAUGCUGUCACAGGUGCAGCAGUGAAGGAACACUGUGACAUAGGAUACUGUAUCACUCUCAGUGAAGGAGAAAUAACAGCAGAGGCUGGACUCUGUGUUGUGAUACCGUGUUCUUUCACCAUUGCUUAUGUCUUUACACCCCAACAUAUGGUGUGGUACAAAUGUGAUGCAUCUAAAAGAAGAUGUGCUGAUUCAGACGUGAUACUCCACACUAACAACAACAACAAAGUUCAGUCUGGGUUUACAGGACGAGUUUCACUGUUGGAGCCUGACGUGAGUCUGAGGAACUGCAGCAUCAUCAUCAAUGACCUCACUAAGUCAGACUCUGGAUCAUAUCAACUCAGAGUUAAUGGUUUCGUGUAUGAUUAUGAGACUGGAUUUACAUUCUCUCCAAGAGCAACUGUCUCUGUCAAAGGUCUGACCCAGAAGCCCACAGUGAUGAUUCCUCCUCUGACAGAGGGACAGCAGACCACACUGACCUGCACUGCUCCUGGUCUCUGCUCUGGAUCUGAUCCUAAAAUCACCUGGACGUGGAGAGGAGCAGGAGAGAAGGACUCUCACAUCACAGGAAACAUCACUGCUGUCACACAGAGACACAGCUCAACUUUGACCUUUAACCCUUCAGCUGAACAGCACGGCACCGAUGUCACCUGUAAGGUCAGCUUCACAAACAGCAUCACUACAGAGGAGACAGUGACUCUGAAUGUGACCUAUGUGAAGGAAUUUAGAAUCACUGGGAAUACAAGUGUGAAGGAGGGUGAGACUCUGCAUCUGACCUGCAGUGUUGAAAGUUUCCCUCCAUCUCUCAUCACGUGGACAAAACCUUCUGAGACAAACAUGCAAAAUGCAACAGAAACAAAUUGGCAGAACAACACUGAGACCUUCAUGCAGAGAGAACGUGGAAUCGGCACUUUUUCCAUCUCUAAUGUGACGACAGAAGAUUCUGGACGAUACAUCUGCAGAGCAGAAUAUCUGAAUCAAACCCUAGUGGAAAAUGUUGAUGUAAAAGUCACAUAUGUGAGGAAACCUUUAGUCACCGGUGAUACAACAGUGGAGGAGGGAGAUGCUCUGAAUUUAACCUGUAGUGUUGAAAGUUUUCCUCCGUCUCAUAUCACAUGGACUGUACUUGGCUCCAACACAAAGCUGGGCAACGGACUUGACACCGACCUGCAGAACCACACUGGAUCAGCCACACUUGUCAUCCCAAAUGUGACGACAGAAGAUUCUGGACAGUACAUCUGUACAGCACAACACCUGGACAGGACUGUGACUACAUAUGCGGAUGUAACAGUGACUUGGUUUUCAAAGGUCUUAAACAACUCUGGGUGUGAGGUUCAGUCGGAGGUCCUGACCUGUGUGUGCAUCAGUGAGGGGUUUCCUUUACCCACCAUCAACUGGCCGCUGUUGAAGAACCAUACUGAGUACGCCAUCAUUACUACUGUGUCAAACCACACAGUCAGCAGCACCGUCACCCUGACUGUAAAAGACCACAGCAACACUUCUGUUGAGUGUGUCAGCAGCAAUGAAAAUGGGGAAGCAAAAGAAAACCUCAAAAUCCGAAUGACCAUAUUAGAAAAAGAAAAAGCGGAUCAGUCCAAAGAACUGGUUUCAUGGCUGGAAGUCAUCAUUGCCUUUUUGAUUGGGGUUCUUCUUUCAGCAGUCCUCUGCUGUUUGGCCACGAAAUGUCACAGAAAAAAUCAGAAGAUCUCUCGAAAUCUGGAUGAGAGUCUGGAGAUGGUGACCAGUCAAGAGGCUCCACUGAUCGAUGCUGGUCAAGCAGUCGAUGAUGAUCAGACCUUCUACCAAGAGUUGGCUGAAGGAGAAGAAGGAGCUGCGGCAGCAGAGCAAGCAGCCCCUGAUCUCAAUGGUGGACCUAAAGAUGUGGAGUACGCCAGCAUUGAUUUCUCCGUCUUGAGAAGAAAGAAUACCAGGGAUGCAGCAAAGAAGCAAGAAACCACAGAGACCGAGUAUGCUGAAAUUAAGAAAGAAGUAAAAGAGGAAAUGGAAAACAAUGGCGAAGAGGAAGGUUAUGUGUUGGAGGGGGAGAUGGUCACGGAGGAUGAAGAGACGACACCUUGUGUUCCUGAAGAGGACGACGGGGAGGACGUUGCAGUGUACUCUGACGGGGAGGACGCUGCAGUGUACUCCAACGUGAAGGAUAUAAUGUCUGAGAUUUGAGGACUGUUGCAUGGUGGAGUUGCUUGAGGAUAAAGUUUCUUUGCUCUCAUCAGUUGUGAUGGAUUGAUGUAAUGGACUGAUGAUGGAUUGUUAUUCCAGUGAAUGAAUGGCGGUCCUGUGAACGGUUUCUAACAGCUGCGGUCUUCAAACGCCACAUUCAGCCUGUGGCGAAGUGACGGAGACGCUUCACACCUCUACACGUUAGGGGCUUUGUAAAUCCAUUCAUUCAACUGAGGGUAAACUGGAAGUUGGACAGUUUCCUUAUUCAAGUGUUAUUGAGCUUAAAUGUGUUGACUUUUCAUAAACGUCCCAAAUAAGAGUACCCACAUCCAUGAAGAAGUGGACUCCGCUAUUCCUCCACUGGCGUAUAAAGGGACAACCACCUCCGUCCUGCUGCUUCUGAGAGCUGAAGUGUGCUUUUGUGAGAUACAUAUUGUUUAACUAGGAUAAACAUGUGCCUUAAGUCAGAGAUGUCUCUAUUUCAGCGUGGCUCUAGGGAUGACAACAUCAGUCUGUUGAUUGGUUUGUCUGACCGCUGUGGGCCAGACUGAAAUAUCUCAACAACUGUUGGAUGGAUUCCCAUUAAGUGUUAUUCAUGUUCCCCAGGGGAUGCAUCCCAAUGACUUUGUUCAUCCUGUGACUUUUCCUUGGCUCCACCAUGAGUUUGGCAUGUGGUUUUGAAUGAACUGUUUAAACAACUAUUGGAUGGAUUGCCAUGGAAUCGGGUAGAGACACACUGUCCACUUCAGGAUAACAUUUUGUUAACAUUGGUUAUCCCUAAACUUUUAAACAUAUGACCAAAUACCUGCAAAACUAAUGACUGUAUGUUUUGUUUAAUGCCAAUUAGCAAAUGAUAGCAUGCUAGCAUUGUAUUGUAAGUAAGUUAGCAUUUAGCUUAAAGCACCACUGCACUUGACGGAGCGGCUACGUCUGUAGUGUCUUAAUCUUGUUUCAUUUUCAUUUAAAGUGUCUGCAGCAAAGGAACUCAAAGGAUAGGUUGAAAUGUUGACAAGUCUGUCUCAAUACAAUACUGGAAUAUAUAUUGAAAGAGUUAAAUCCCUUCCUAAAGUAAUUCCAGUGUAAAAGACAGGGAACCUUUUUUUGCCGGUUUGCAGUGGAGGGUAGUAACGCAGAGCACAUUUCAUACUUAAAAGAGCUUUUGUAGAUGUGGAGCUGUCUAACUCAGACUGCUGAAGCGUCAUUUUAGCUUCAGCUGAAUUUAAUGAUGCAUGUUGUCACAGAAUGAGGACUGUAGAUUUUGUCUCAAUCUAUUACGGUGGAAUUGAAUUAUGAUGGGAAGUCUUCAGGGCCCGUGUGAACAUGAACAACAAUUGGAGAAAUGUUGAUGUACAUAUGCAUGAUAGUAUUGUUUGUAAAAAAAAAAAAAGUUACACUCCUUUAAACUGGUGUGGAUACAUGCAUUCAUUUUUAUAUAAAAUAUGAAAAAUUGUUAAACAACAAAUUGCAGAUCAGUAUGCUGUUUUUAAUUUUAUUUAGCUUUUUGGAUUGAUUUGUUUUUUCAAACUGAUAAAAUGUUUGACCCAGUUUGUCUCUACUUUAGACAAAUUAGGAAGUCGUAGAUUACUUCUCUUUUUAUUGUGUUACAGGAAUCAACUUGGCUUCUUUUAAACAGAAAACACACUUGUUUAUGUUUGAGAUGAAAUCAUGAGUUAUCAAUUGCAACAAAACCUUUUUUUCUUUCUGGUACAUUCUGCAAUGUUGACAGGUUCUGUGGUGAGUGUUCAAUAUGCAGACAUAUAGAAACAGAUGAGGACAGAUAUGAAGCCAGUUAGCAGUUAAAUAUAGUUAUAGUCAUAAUCUACCAUCUCAGAGUGUCAACAGGAAGUUAUUAGAGAGAAUACAGUGAUGCCAUGUAAAGCAAUGUUUCAAUGAAUAAUCCCUUCAGAGACUUUUCUGAGAACACAACUGAGAAUGUUGCACAAUAAACCAUAAGAACCAUACUGUUACAAAUAUGGAACUUCAUGCAGUUAAGAGCUAGGAUUAAAACAAAUAUCUUAUUUUUUUAUCUGCCGGUAUUUCACGCACUUCAUUAAAGACGGCAGUUAUAGUACAGACCAUUCACAUGCAUGCACAUUCACCACCCUAUAUGCACAUGUAUGUAUUGUAUUGUGCAUUACAAUGUAGAAGGAUAGUUGAUAGAUGAGCUAUUUGGUUUCUUAAGGUGACACAAGCUUCUCAAGUACACAUAUGGUACUUCCUCUUUCUCAGAGUUCAUCACACAUAUACAGUCCUGAAGAAAAGAAAAUAGCAAGACCGAUUCAUUUCAUUAUUCAGUGUUAAAGUUGUACAUUAUCAACUUGAUAUACAUUAUUUAUUUAUAUUAACGUAGGCACACAUUUUAGAGAUUUGUGAGUGUGGCAGUCUAACGAGGGCCAGCAGUGUGAAGAGAAACUUCCUUUAAAAUUGUUGUAGCGCAAAGAGGAACGAAUUAAAAAAGGAAGACGAAGAGAGGAAGAGUCAGUUCAGAGCAGAGACGCUCAGCAGAGAUCACUGUGGUGAGAAGAGAACAAAAAAGAGGAAAAGACACUGACUGUCUCAAUCAUCACAUCAGGAUGUUUGUUCUCAUCUGGACGACUCUGCUCUUCUCUGUGAGAGGCAUCACUGCUGACGCAGGUGUAGCAGUGAAGGAACACUGUGACAGAGGAUACUGUAUCACUCUCAGUGAAGGAGAAAUAACAGCAGAGGCUGGACUCUGUGUUGUGAUACCGUGUUCUUUCACCAUUGCUUAUGGCUUUAAACCCCAACAUAUGGUGUGGUACAAAUGUGAUGCAUCUAAAAGAAGAUGUGGGGAUUCAGACGUGAUACUCCACACUAACAACAACAACAAAGUUCAGUCUGGGUUUACAGGACGAGUUUCACUGUUGGAGCCUGACGUGAGUCUGAGGAACUGCAGCAUCAUCAUCAAUGACCUCACUAAGUCAGACUCUGGAUCAUAUCAACUCAGAGUUAAUGGUUUACUGAGUUAUGAUGAGAGUGGAUAUACAGUCUCUCCAAGAGCAACUGUCUCUGUCAAAGGUAUGAAGAGCUUCAACAAAUACAUACAGUGAAGAUGUUCAUUCUAU